CAGAGACUGGCAGCGCGCCGUCAUCGCCAUGAAUGGGAUCGAAGUAAAGCUCUCGGUCAAGUUCAACAGCAGGAAGUUCAGCUUGAAGAGGAUGCCGUCCCGAAAACAGACAGGGGUCUUCGGAGUCAAGAUUGCUGUGGUCACCAAGAGAGAGAGGUCCAAGGUGCCCUACAUCGUGCGCCAGUGUGUGGAGGAGAUCGAGCGCCGAGGCA
rnacentral:lncRNA from 1 species